CACAUUCUCAUAGGAGUAAUGAUCAAUUAUUUUGUCCUUAUUUUUUGGCAGAACUCUCUAAAUAAUUAGGUAGCUCUCUAAAUAUUAGGUACCACCCAUAUUCUAGCCUUUCUGCAUUAUUUUACGAUCAAUCCUUACACUUUUCUUUUGUUUGCAAUGUGUAGGAGGUAACAGCCAACUUAUCCCCAGGUACUCUGACAAAGCCAGUUUCUUUUUAAUUAUUUUUAAUUCGACUAUUCCUGUCCCCAGCCUUAAGUAGAAUAUAUGUAAGCGCAGGUAAUUAGUUUUGGGGAACUGCUACUAGCAUAAUUGUUAACACUUGGUACCAACUAAAAUUAGUUUUGGGUGUUUAUUAUGGUGCGCUCUUAGGUAAUGGCACUUGAAUGGAUUGGGUUGUCAGUAAGUAUUUAGAAGAGAAGUAGUUGCAUAGUCUCUACUUAUCAAAAACAACUAUCUACUUUUUCGAUGCACGGCACUGCUUCCUUUCAACAAAUCUUAGCUCCCUAAAAUUAAGGAUGCUGCGUAACAUCUCCUCGCAGAAAUCCUUCCUCUGAUAAUCGCCUGGGUCACAUAAUUUUCCAAUCUUCAUGGAUUUUUUCUCGUUUAACGCAUGACCUGCACUCCAUCUCACUUACACGACCAAAUGGUACCACAGAUGAAUGGGAUGCUGGAUGCUGUGUCCCGUGCUCUCUGCUCUUACCGGGUUUGAGCAUUGUCAUUUUGGGGUGUCGGACACGCCCAUUUAAAUACAGUUAUUUCAUUGGAUCGCGUGUGUCAUCCCGCGUGCAAUCCCUCUCACACGUACCAAGCUGCACAAGCUACGUACGGGAUUCGGGGGCAAGUCACCAGAUGAGAAAUUCAUGUAUGGAUGGCCGAUACAGCAAGAACAGCACAACGGUCCGCAUCGCUUGAGUAGCCAUCGAGUGUGGAUAUGUGUGCAUGUGUAUGGGUUGGUGCACGGAUUUUUUGGUACACGACUGGGCACAGCAUCCAGCGAGAAACCAGAUUUCCUCUCGGCCGCUUUGGGCAUCUUUUGGUUUUUUCGGAUUUGCUUUAGUAUAUUUCGGAUCUCGACGAGUGAGUGCGAGGCUUACGGCUAGGUGGUGCGUGGUCUAUGCUGGGAAAUCUUAAAAGAUCUUAAGGAGCGAGCGUGUGUGCCCUGAAAAGUGCGUUUCUUAGGUACUAUGUAUUUGUGCCGUUUGCUUUUCGCAAGGAUUCCGAGAUGUGGGAGUGAAUGAAAAGGAACGUGCUGUAAUCAUCCCCGUUUUGUCCUUUUUCCAUUUGCCUGAGUCUACAUAUACACACUACGCUCAGACCUAUUUUGUUGUUGUCCUCCGUUAGGAUUUCGAUUUUUGAUUUUGGUCCUUCGUUUCUUUGAAUCUGGGAUUUUGUUUAUGGACCUUGCGAGCGGUCAUGCUCGAGGGCAAAAUAGUCAAAUAAAAAAUCAGUUUCCGUUCGGCCGUGUCCUGAGAUAGUACUUAAUUGCAGUGCACACGUUGCGGACUUCUCGGACUGCGUGACGUAACAUUGUUGAUUGCAGAGAGUUAUUAUUGCUGAGAAAAUAACGUGUUUUUGCCUUAACAGAUCGUAGUAAGGAACAUACAAUUACACAAAAUUAGAACGAUAAAAUAAUGUGUAGUUCAAAAGUGCGCAUAUAGUGCAGUUGAUAUUUAAAGUCUAAACUAUUCGGCGGCUGGAACGUGUUGAGAGUGUGUAAUUAUGUGGAAACUUUAUUAGAUCAAGACGAUUUUAGACAUUAUCCUUUGGGAAAUAUUGACAUUAGUCGUGGAACCGAUUGAAUAAAAAAUAAAACAUUGAACAUUAUGAUGGAAAAAACUACUCCUGCAAAUUAUUUUGGACUACAGGCCCCCGAAAAAUCCUUAAAUGGAAGACCGGUAGAAAGUCAGCAUUAGUGCCUGCCAUGGUGGUCACUAAUUGCUCGUGGCAUGAUGCAUAAAUGCAUAGAAGUAUAAAUAAUGCAUCAAAUAAAUUUUCAUCUACUUUCUAAGGAUCUAUUUGUAAUCAAACGAUUGACAAUUUCAAGUCCCACUCCGCUUCGACGGUUAACUAAUCAGUCUAGAGUCCCUUCGAUGAGCUAGAAUAUAUUAUUUUUUUUUUUUGCGAGGGAUCUUGACGCUUUUUGUUUUUAAUCUAUUCAUUCCAGUUUUAAAUCUGUAGAAACUAUUUGGCGCAGCAUCUUCACUAAGGAUACUGUGAAAAUGCAAUACUUAUUCUUUUACACAAAUCAAAUUGACAGUUAUCAAAUAUAAUAUUAUGUACAUUUGUAGUUAUCUACUUCAUCAGAUUUAGUUACUUCCUUUAACUUAUAAUUUCUAUAUCUUAUAAUUUAUUAGAGUUUGCACAUUGUGGAAGUAUUUUUUAGGGCAAUGAUGUUAAAACCCAUAGUUUUCCACUGUUGAAGACUUAAUAAUCUCCUCCAGGGAUGAAAUAAAUUCAAUGGGUACCUCACAUACAGUGUACGGCCAUCAAAUGUUCUGACCACAAGCGUGAUGAAAAAUAAAAAUUUCAAGGAUUUUUUCCGUGUUUAUUAUAGUUUUGAGGAAUAAAAUCACGCUUCAUCACUUUGUACUGAUGAAGGAAGUAAGUUGCUCCCGAAAUAUAUAUAUACAUAAUAAAAUAAAAUUGUAGUUUGGAGUAAGCUACUGGUCUAUCAAUUUUAGAAUUAACUACAAAUAGAAGACAAUAUCUAACCUCACACUUCAUCUGAUUCCACGAAUCAAGUCUCAUUAUUUUACAACCGGAAAAAUUUUAUUCACAAAGUAUGGAUCAAAGAACAGCUGAAGUUUUUGGUUUUCUAGUGAGUAGAAGUUCGCCAGUAGAAUCCAAGUUAUAUAGGAAAUACACGUGUGUAUAAAAAAAUUCUUUUAUUAUAAAAUUUUCUUUUUUAUUGAUAAGAAAGAACUAGGAAAAUAACAAUUUUUUAAUCGGGUUAUUAUUUUCUACAUUUAUAUUUGGUGGUCAGAGUUGAAAUUCGUUAAAGGGGUUAUGCUACUGUAGCUUCGCAAAAAAAGUAGCCUACGUAUUUUGGGUUUUAUUUUCAGCGGAGAAUAAAAUAUAUAAAAAUUC
rnacentral:misc_RNA from 1 species